UCCAAUUUCAAUGUAUCUUGAUGAAUUCCCUUAAAAGCACGGUGAAGAGUAAGCGGUAAAGAGAAAAUGUCGCGGUCCUGCUUGGCUUUGCCUAUAGGUAAGGGUGAUGCACUUUUCAAUGUGGGGAUUCUUUCCGAGUUAGUUUCGAGGCUUUUUUUCACCUUACCAAUAUGUUACCUAUCAAUGCUCUAGCAAAGAACCUUAAAGUUACGAACCAGGUGAAAUUUUACUAAGGCAAAUUAUUCAUUUCAAAUGGCUGGAUAAAAAGAGAUCGCCGUUAACUUGCGCUUAAUGAGAAAGCUACCACAGUUUUCACAUACUGCAAUAUUCAUAUAGAUUUCCCUAAUUUUAAAUUACUAAACAUCCGCAACAGUAGAUGCCAUUUACUACUGGCUUGAAACAUAUGGCUGCAUUUGACACUAUCGUUUCCACGCGGUAAUUGAGUUAACCACCUUACAUAGUAACAAUGUAUUGAAAUUUUAUUCAUGCCAAAUUAAAUUGAUAUAGUAGAAAAUUAGUAUUAUCGCUUCAUCUGACUAGUAACUCCGACUAACAACCCAUCCACGUUACUAAACCUGCUCUUAAGAGACA